AGCACAGAGGACUCAGACAAAAGGUUUCUUUUCCACUUCUUGUAGCAGGAAAUCAACAAUGUUUUAGAUCAAAGCUGUUCCAUUUUCCUGGAUCCUAGUGGGGAGCUAACAUGGCGCAGAGCCACAGCCAAUCCAAGGACAUGUGGUACCUCCUGACAGCAGGCUUGACACCAGCUACUGUCCAGCUCCCCAGUAAACCAGAUUCCCUCAUUGCUCCUAAUGGGGU